AUUGAACGCUGGCGGCAGGCCUAACACAUGCAAGUCGAGCGGAUGAAGGGAGCUUGCUCCUGGAUUCAGCGGCGGACGGGUGAGUAAUGCCUAGGAAUCUGCCUGGUAUUGGGGGAUAACGUCCGGAAACGGGCGCUAAUACCGCAUACGUCCUGAGGGAGAAAGUGGGGGAUCUUCGGACCUCACGCUAUCAGAUGAGCCUAGGUCGGAUUAGCUAGUUGGUGGGGUAAAGGCCUACCUAGGCGACGAUCCGUAACUGGUCUGAGAGGAUGAUCAGUCACACUGGAACUGAGACACGGUCCAGACUCCUACGGGAGGCAGCAGUGGGGAAUAUUGGACAAUGGGCGAAAGCCUGAUCCAGCCAUGCCGCGUGUGUGAAGAAGGUCUUCGGAUUGUAAAGCACUUUAAGUUGGGAGGAAGGGCAGUAAGUUAAUACCUUGCUGUUUUGACGUUACCAACAGAAUAAGCACCGGCUAACUUCGU
rnacentral:rRNA from 1 species